rnacentral:rRNA from 1 species
GCGGAGGAAAAGAAAAUAACAAUGAUUUCCCUAGUAACGGCGAGUGAAGAGGAAAGAGCUCAAAGUUGGAACCUGUUUGGCUUAGCUAAACCGGAUUGUAAACUGUAGAAGUGUUUUCCAGACACGCCUGGUAAAAAAGUCCUUUGGAACAGGGCAUCAUAGAGGGUGAGAAUCCCGUCUUUGGCCAGAGCUGUUGUCUUUUGUGAUACAUUUUCAAAGAGUCAGGUUGUUUGGGAAUGCAGCCUAAAUUGGGUGGUAAAUCUCACCUAAAGCUAAAUAUUUGCGAGAGACCGAUAGCGAACAAGUACCGUGAGGGAAAGAUGAAAAGAACUUUGAAAAGAGAGUUAAACAGUAUGUGAAAUUGUUAAAAGGGAACCGUUUGGAGCCAGACUGGCUUGACUGUAAUCAAUCUAGGCUUCGGCCUGGAUGCACUUGCGGUUUAUGCCUGCCAACGACAAUUUUUUUUGAGGGAAAAAACUAUUCGGAAUGUGGCCCUCCCUCGGGGGGGUGUUAUAGCCUUAUAGAAAAUACCUUGAAUUGGAUUGAGGAACGCAGUGAAUGCCUUUAGGCAAGAUUGCUGGGUGCUUUCGCUAAUAAAUGCUAGAAUUUCUGCUUCGGGUGGUGCUAGUGUUUAAAGGAGGAACUCGCCUAGUAUAUUUUUUAUUCGCUUAGGUUGUUGGCUUAAUGACUCUAAAUGAC